AACGAACGCUGGCGGCAUGCCUAACACAUGCAAGUCGAACGAGACCUUCGGGUCUAGUGGCGCACGGGUGCGUAACGCGUGGGAAUCUGCCCUUGGGUUCGGAAUAACAGUUAGAAAUGACUGCUAAUACCGGAUAAUGUCUUCGGACCAAAGAUUUAUCGCCCAGGGAUGAGCCCGCGUAGGAUUAGCUAGUUGGUGAGGUAAAGGCUCACCAAGGCGACGAUCCUUAGCUGGUCUGAGAGGAUGAUCAGCCACACUGGGACUGAGACACGGCCCAGACUCCUACGGGAGGCAGCAGUGGGGAAUAUUGGACAAUGGGCGAAAGCCUGAUCCAGCAAUGCCGCGUGAGUGAUGAAGGCCUUAGGGUUGUAAAGCUCUUUACCCGGGAUGAUAAUGACAGUACCGGGAGAAUAAGCCCCGGCUAACU
rnacentral:rRNA from 1 species